GCAUGUGGGCCCGAGGACAUUCUGGCAAGCGGGGUCCCUGGUGUCUCUCUGCCACAGGGCCUGGCCCCAGCAGCUUGCCCUCCAACUGGCCACGUGCAGCGCUGGCCCAUGGAGAUGCGGAGCGAUGGGGAGGCGGCAAGCGGCUGCGUCCUGGCACCCGACAUUUUCCGUAUCACAAGGACACCAAGACAGCCCACCACAGAGGUGAUGGACUGGACCUGAACAGUCCUUACUUCACGGACUUCUCCUGCCAUGGGCCCUCAGCCUCCAUUGUCAGCCUAGGCAACAGGGACUCAAAGCCAGACUUGUCCUUUCUCUGUUGCAUCCUGUUUUUCCUUUUGUUACUGUCACAUUUGUUUUUCCUCUAACUCCUGAAGACGAUUAUCACGGCACUCCUCUUCUUCCACCGAUUUCUGUGGUGUACAGCGUGCAGUGACACACGUAGAGUGAGUCUGCCUACCUGCACAGAUCUAGACAAUGUGCUCAGGGACAUCCUAGUUGGAAAUAAGGUUGCCCUAUACUCUUGUCCAGUGGCUUUGCUCCUCAGAACCACGGGAGGUCUACAAAGGGAAUUCUGAAACUAGAACCCUCAGAGAUCUCAACAGGAGUAACGAUUUCAUUAGCUCAUAGAGCUUUAACUCAUAUGACGUUACUCAACACAGUGACUGAGACAAAGAACUCAUCUUUGACUGACCAUGAACAUUCUAUGGCACCAUUUUUUUCUGAAAAACCUCCUUGUGAACUGAUGGGGGAAGGACUGUAGCUUGCCUGCGAAGCACAAGAACAAGGACCUGCCACCCUUAUACAUUCUGCUAGUCACCCUGGGGGGUGCUGGAGCGAGGAAGGCAAGGCCCUGCUCUUGAGGAGGGGCCACACGUGAGACAGAACAAGCCUGGGAAGAAAGCUGCAUGAGGAGCAGCACACACGUGUGGCAAGUCGAGUUUUCUUUG